CCUGCCCCUAGGAGCUUAGCAGGUGUCACUGCUAUGUCACAUGCACAUCAGUAGGUGGCAGAGAGGAGAGAGGACAUGUCUAUAUUUAGUGUUCUGACCUAUGAACAUCUGAAUAAUUAGUAGUCUAAAAUU
ensembl:snoRNA small nucleolar RNA SNORA17